GACGAACGCUGGCGGCGUGCUUAACACAUGCAAGUCGAACGGAAAGGCCUGCUUUCCCUUGUGGAUUGCGGGUACUCGAGUGGCGAACGGGUGAGUAACACGUGAGUGAUCUGCCCCCAACUUGGGUAUAAGGCUGGGAAACUGGGUCUAAUUCCCGAUAGGACUGCAGGGUGGUGCCUGUGGUGGAAAACGAUUUUCUAGUGGUUGGGGAUGAGCUCGCGGCCUAUCAGCUUGUUGGUGGGGUAAUGGCCUACCAAGGCGGCGACGGGUAGCCGGCCUGAGAGGGUGGACGGCCACAUUGGGACUGAGAUACGGCCCAGACUCCUACGGGAGGCAGCAGUGGGGAAGAUUGCACAAUGGGCGGAAGCCUGAUGCAGCGACGCCGCGUGGGGGAUGACGGCCUUCGGGUUGUAAACUCCUUUCGACCGCGAGGAAGCCACCUGGUUGGAAGGGUGGUGACGGUAGUGGUAGAAGAAGCACCGGCUAACUACGUG
rnacentral:rRNA from 1 species